rnacentral:rRNA from 1 species
AUCUAUUUGAUUUUCAUCCCAUUGGAUAACCGUGGGAAAGCUAGAGCUAAUACAUGCAGUUACCUGGGCGGGCAACCGUCCAGAGCAUUUAUUAGAUAAAAACCAGCUACCAUUAGGGCGCAAGCUUUAAUGGUAAGGUGAAUCUAGAUAACUUUGCUGAUCGUAUGGCCUUGAGCCGGCGACGUUUCAAUUGAAUUUCUGCCCUAUCAACUUGUUGGUUAGGUAGUGGCUACCAAGGUGACAACGGGUAACGGGGAAUCAGGGUUCGAUUCCGGAGAGGGAGCCUGAGAGAUGGCUACCACAUCCAAGGGAGGCAGCAGGCGCGCAAAUUACCCAAUCCAGACACUGGGAGGUGGUGACGAGAAAUACUAGCUGGUGUCCUUAUAGGAUGCCAUGCUGGAAUGGACGUAAUUUAAGCAAUUCGCUGAGUAACAACUGGAGGGCAAGUCUGGUGCCAGCAGCCGCGGUAAUUCCAGCUCCAGUAGUGUAUCUUAAAGUUGCUGCGUUUAAAACGCUCGUAGUUGGAUCACGCAGUACGAUUUGGUAGAUUGAUAGAUCGUUGCAUAAAAUUCAGUCAGGCAUGGGCUUGUCUUGGUUUAUCCAUUAUGAGCUUGUGUUUGGCUGUAGUAGCGUCUGUUGAUAUACAGCCAGAUCGUACUACUUACGCGUGAGGAUGGUAGCUGACCUUCAAUGCGUUGGCUAUCGUGUCUCACGGAGUGUGCCUUGAAUAAAUCAGAGUGCUCAAAGCAGGCAUUUGCUUGAAUGUUAAUAGCAUGGAACGAACAAUUGUGACUUACGCAUUCUGAUAUGGACCUUUCAUGGGCUAUGUUUGUGAGAGCGUCUGUGUUGGAAUGCAGCACCAACCGCCAAUGACGGAUGUUGGUUUCCGCGUUGGGGUGAUGAUUAAAAGGAGCGGUUGGGGGCAUUGGUAUUUGGCCGCGAGAGGUGAAAUUCUUGGACCGGCCAAGGACUAACAAAUGCGAAGGCAUCUGCCAAGACCGUUUCCAUUGAUCAAGAACGAUAGUGAGAGGUUCGAAGACGAUCAGAUACCGUCGUAGUUCUCACUGUAAACUAUGCCGACCCGGGAUCAGUUUUGAGCUAAUAAACGCUCGUGGUUGGUCCCCCUGGGAAACCUCAAGUUUUUAGGUUACGGGGGGAGUAUGGUUGCAAGGCUGAAACUUAAAGGAAUUGACGGAAGGGCACCACCAGGGGUGGAGCCUGCGGCUUAAUUUGACCCAACACGGGAAAACUCACCUGGUCCGGACAUCGAGAGGAUAGACAGACUGAUAGAUCUUUCUUGAUACGGUGGUUGGUGGUGCAUGGCCGUUCUUAGUUCGUGGAGUGAUCUGUCAGGUUAAUUCCGGUAACGAACGAGACCAUAUUCCUCAUUUAAGGAGCUUGGAGAUAUACAGGUAGUGUCAUGUUCGCAAGUUCAUGAUAUUACUUGUAACGACGGGUUUAAUGGUUGGUAACAUUGUGCAUUAGUUUUGCUCGAAGAGUUACAUCUUAGAGCAUGCUAGUGUGUGAUUUAUAAAUUGUUUGACCUUCCUCCAGCCAAACAGUGUAUGGGUUAAACUGUACAUUGUGCUAUGGGGAGACAACUGGCGAUAUUAUUAAAGUCAGAGGAAGUUUUGGCAAUAACAGGUCUGUGAUGCCCUUAGAUGUUCAGGGCCGCACGCGCGCUACAAUGAUAGCAACAGCGAGUAUCUGGGUCGAGAGACUCGGGAAAUCUUAAAAUUGCUAUCGUGAUGGGGACUGACCGUUGUAAUUAUCGGUCACGAAAGAGGAAUCCCUAGUAUGUGCAGUUCAUUAGAUUGUACAGAUUGCGUCCCUGCCCUUUGUACACACCGCCCGUCGCUACUACCGAGUGAAUGGUGUCAU